rnacentral:lncRNA from 1 species
UGCCCCCUCCGCCGCAGGCUGCCGCCGGUACCUCGUGCGUGGUUACUAUGCAAAUUGCAGCGAUUGCGGAAAUAAACAAGGGAGUUGGGAGAGGAGAGAGGGACUGCCGAAUCGAUUGCAACUUCUGCAAAGUCUCGUACAAUCCAAAGCACGCAAGGCAAAACCAGAGCGAAUCUGAGAACCAGCCAGCCCGGGUUGGAUCGCUUUCAAAAGAGAGAGUGAGAGCGAGCGAGCGAGCGAGCGAGAGCGAGACAGUGAGAGAGGGAGAGAGCGCGCCUUGCAAUUGCAAAAGCCUUCUGAUUUGGAGUUAAAAAAAAAAUUCUCCAAGAAGCCUGCAAUUGGCCAACAGCUUUUUAAAAAAUCUCUUCCGGGUUUUCAACGGUUCCAAGUUUAUUUAGAUAUUUUUUAAAUGCAAAAAAAAGGGGACAACAAAUGAAGCAAUUCGUCUGAGCAUUUUAAAGUUUCUCACGUACUCUUUUUACAUUGCAAUGCGCUUGCUCGGUUCCAGAAAGGGGUGGGGGGAAAUCCUGUACGUGCUCUGUUCUGUAAAAGACGUCUGGCCUCAGCAGUCAACCUAACCCGAAAAGAAAUGUCUGGACCCGGAGAAUAAUUGACGAUUUGAUCCUCUAAUCAAUGGGACAACUUGGGAGAUUGACAAAAGCUUUAUCCAAUCAUAAGGAAGCUUGGGUGUACAAUAGUUCUCAAUAGCCAGAGGGGGCGGGGCAGAGGAGAUCUGAAGUUCUCUGCAGCUCUGAAGGGGAUGGUGUGGUUCAAGCUGUCAAAGCUACAAGCGCUUCCGGAUUUAGCAAGCACAAUAGGAAAGAAUUUUCGCGUUUAAGAAAAAAAAAAAAGCUGAUCGGGGGAGUUUUGCAUGAAUCGUGUGCCUUCUUCCUUGUCUUUUGGAAAAAGAAACAUUCUGCUAGAGAAAUAACUUUGUAUUGUUAUUAACUUUGCAUUAGCUAUUAUUUUUAUGCUCAGGGAAGCUGGUAACUUGUGGAAUGUGAAGUUCAACUUUAAGAAACGUGUGGCUUAAAUCUUGCCUGAAUUGUGGGACUGUAGUGAGCUUUGGGAAGUAAUAUAUUGCGUAUUCAGCAUUACAAAACUUCUUACUCUGAUUAUCUUAGAAGCUUUGGCAUUUCAAGUACUUUGAAAUUAAUAGGUAAACCUCUCUUCUUGAACUCUAAACAACAGUUUUAAAGGAGAGAAUGUUUCACAUGUGGACUAGCAGCUGUCUUACACACUUGAAAGAAAUUAGGGGAGUGUUUUUUCUUGGCUAUUCUUGAAUUCUGCUUUUUAAGUAUAUGGUCAGUAGGAAAUAGGACGUUAAGACUGGCCAAGUUCACGUUUCUCCUUGUUACCACAACAACCCCCGUGGAGAGUGUAUGGAAGAUCGCUGACUUGCUAACUGUUAGUUGGAGUCUGGCCUCUUGGACAAGUGCUUGAUACAAAUCCAGUGGAAACCAACUGCAGUAGCUUGUCUUGGAGACAGUAACUGGCAGCCUCUGACUAAAAUAUCUCCAUCUCCUCCUCUCUGAGCAGCGUAGACACCCAAUUCUGUUGGGAAGUGAAUGGAAAAUAAUAUGGGCUCUUUCCCUUCUUUGGAUUAAAUUCCCAUCGAGCUAUUUCCCAAGGCUUUAGGCCUUCCAGUCAAAUCUGGCUUGGAAAUUUGAUGUAAGAAUUCACUUGGACACUCACUUCAGCAACAUGAUUCAAUUUAGGAUUAUAUGCACAUAAGAAAAAUCUGCACAGAAGUGACCAGCAGGUCAAAAACCAGAGAAGAAAAAAUGUUGAAAAAUGCCAGUUAAUAAAGUUAGUUUUGGUAAGAACUACAGAGUUAUGGUGUUGUCGCUUAUGAAUCCCAG